rnacentral:rRNA from 1 species
UACGGAGGGUGCAAGCGUUAUCCGGAUUUACUGGGUUUAAAGGGUGUGUAGGCGGGUCUUUUAAGUCAGUGGUGAAAUCUCCGAGCUCAACUUGGAAACUGCCAUUGAUACUAUUGAUCUUGAAUUUUGUUGAGGUAGGCGGAAUAAGUCAUGUAGCGGUGAAAUGCAUAGAUAUGACUUAGAACACCAAUUGCGAAGGCAGCUUACUAAGCAAAUAUUGACGCUGAGGCACGAAAGCGUGGGGAUCAAACAGG